rnacentral:rRNA from 1 species
CCGCGGUAAUACGGAGGAUCCGAGCGUUAUCCGGAUUUAUUGGGUUUAAAGGGUGCGUAGGCGGCCUGUUAAGUCAGGGGUGAAAGACGGUAGCUCAACUAUCGCAGUGCCCUUGAUACUGAUGGGCUUGAAUAUACUAGAGGUAGGCGGAAUGUGACAAGUAGCGGUGAAAUGCAUAGAUAUGUCACAGAACACCAAUUGCGAAGGCAGCUUACUAUGGUAUGAUUGACGCUGAGGCACGAAAGCGUGGGGAUCAAACAGGAUUAGAUACCCUGGUAGUCCACGCCCUAAACGAUGAACACUCGAUGUUGGCGAUAUACGGUCAGCGUCUAAGCGAAAGCGUUAAGUGUUCCACCUGGGGAGUACGCCCGCAAGGGUGAAACUCAAAGGAAUUGACGGGGGCCCGCACAAGCGGAGGAGCAUGUGGUUUAAUUCGAUGAUACGCGAGGAACCUUACCCGGGCUUGAAAGUUAGUGAAUGUGACAGAGACGUCACAGUUCUUCGGAACACGAAACUAGGUGCUGCAUGGCUGUCGUCAGCUCGUGCCGUGAGGUGUUGGGUUAAGUCCCGCAACGAGCGCAACCCCUAUGUUUAGUUGCCAGCAUUUAAGGUGGGGACUCUAAACAGACUGCCUAUGCAAAUAGAGAGGAAGGAGGGGACGACGUCAAGUCAUCAUGGCCCUUACGUCCGGGGCUACACACGUGCUACAAUGGAUGGUACAGAGGGCCGCUACCUGGCAACAGGAUGCCAAUCUCAUAAAGCCAUUCACAGUUCGGAUCGGGGUCUGCAACUCGACCCCGUGAAGUUGGAUUCGCUAGUAAUCGCGUAUCAGCAAUGACGCGGUGAAUACGUUCCCGGGCCUUGUACACACCGCCCGUCAAGCCAUGGAAGCUGGAAGUGCCUGAAGUGCGUAACCGCAAGGAGCGUCCUAGGU